AAAGGAUGGUGAGGGCAAUUCCUAAGCUUUUCUUUAAUUCUUUCCCAACUUUUAUAAAUUGAUUUUUCCUUCAAACUGGGCAAAAGAAGUGAUAUUAUUUCUAAAUUU